UGUGUUCAGGGUGAUAAUGCAUUUUCUAUU
rnacentral:piRNA from 1 species